CUCAAUCUUUAACUUUGCAUUCAUAAGCCAACUUGCAUUUACAAAAGUUUCAUAUACAUAAAUCCAUGAUAAUGCAUUAUACAUUACAAGUUUACAUCCAAAGGAACAUAAAGUAAUGCCUAACAUAAGACACUAUAAACUCAUUAUCCUAUCCUAAUCACAUGGCCCAUGAUAGCAUUAACCAAACCAGAUGCAUUGAUUAUGCAAACAUCAAUUACCAUUUUCCUGCAUUGAGUUCCAAAAGGAGAAUAGCAUGAGCGAACCUUUUCCAACCUGAAAAUCCAUCCAACAGUCCAAGUCAGAAUGUGCUACAAGAAAAUCAUGAAGUUUCAAAGAUGAAUGCAUAACAUAUCCAGUUAAUUUAGUGCAGUUCCCAUCUAGUUUUUCAUAUUAACAUUUUAACCUAACUAACAUUAAUAGAACCAAUGCAAGCAAUCGAGCCCACCUAACUUUUCCUAACAUAUUAAAUGGCUUAAACAUUGCAGAAACAUCAAGGUGAAUACAAUUCUGUAGGAAAUCGAUUCAGUCCAAUAACUCAAAUGAAAUUAACUUUAAAUUCAUUUUCAAAUUAAUCUAUAAACCAAACUCAUUUCAGAUUCAUUUCCAACCAACCCUAACUAACUUUUUGAUCACAUAACUGAUUUCAACAUUUGAGUUUCAUUUGAAGUGAAUUUCAACUGAGUUUAUAAUAGAACCUCAGUAUAUAAAUCCACUUCAUUAUCAUAAGUGCGAAAAAUCACAACAUCACACUCUCUUCUCUCUCGCUGCUAUCUCUUUCAACCUCACUUCAGAGCUCGUUUUCCUCCAUUGUUGCUCAGAGCCUCACCUUGAAGCUCUGAAACAACAAGAGCUAAACCACUCUCAUCUCACGCGCAAUAACAAGAAACUUAUCAAUGCAUAGAGGAAGCAGAAGAAAGAAUAAGAACAAAAGGAAGGAAGAGUGAACGAACCAGAACAUACCUGAAUUCCAUCGUCGUCUUCAGCUUCAUCUUCUUCGGUAGGCUGCUCAAAUUAUUUUCUUCAUUUUACUUCAAAUAUGUUACCGGUGUGUCACUUAGAGGCUAGGAAAUCAGAGCUCCAACCUUUUAGGCUCCAAUUACUCCAGAUCUUAAUUUAAUUUCAUAAUUAGUGAAGGAAAAUUGUGAUCCAAAAUACAGCGAAAAUUAAAAAUUUUCCUUUAGUGAUCCUUACGAAUGAGCAUGAUCAAUGAUCAAAAUUAUUACCUCUUGUGGAGAUUGAAACCUUUGAUGCAUAUCUAAGGAGUGAUCACGAGCGUUGAAUGGUGACAACGCCUCUACUCAGUCCACACGAACGAAUUCCUUCAGUCUCAGCGCUAGCUGCUACGAAUGAAGGCAUUGAUUGAGUGAGAGAGAAAUAAAGCUUCAUCAAGUGAAAUGCUUCUUCACAAGGGUUAUAUUUAUAGAACCACUUGUGUGGGCUGCAAGCUAAAAAGCCCACUUAAGUGUAUGUGGCCCAUAUCUUAUGGUAUACCGAAAAUCACUUAAGCGCGUGGUACCUUAACAUAUUUCGUAUUCUACUUAAGUUCACCGUACCUUACGAUGUUCUACAUUUCACUUAAGUGCACCGUACCUUACGGUGUUCCUUAUUUACUCCAUCUCUCAUCAAUCCGUCCUUUUGUGUGUGACCCUGUAGGUUUUCGUGACAUUGACAAUUAUAUUAAAUCACAUAUUUAACAUAAUAAAUAAUGAGCAGUAUCUAGCAACACAACACUGCUACCCAAGACACGAAAAUGUCAUCUGAUAUGACAAAUCCUUUUUGUGAUAAUACUUGUGUGUAAAAUUACCCUUUUUCCCUUAUGUCUAUAUUGAACACAAGGCAUAGACCGUGUCAUCCUUGUCUAGUUCAAUAUUGGGCCCUUAGACAUUUAUCCUGUUACGCAGGAUGGACAAAUUCCAUCUAGGUCACUCAUGUCCCUCAACAUGCUUCGUGGAGUACCCAUCAACUAUAUUUAUGGUCAUCUAGUUACGAAUAACGUGUGAUCAGCAAUAAAGAACUCGAAUCUACAUCUAGGGUCCAUAGUGGUUUCAGGUCGAAGGGUGGUAUACACCACUGUCACCAUGAGAAUAACUUGUGACACUUUGCAUAACAUUCUAUGUAGUAUUCUCAUAGCGGGUCAAUCUAGUAUAAAUAUUACUCCUAAUAGUCAUACCUAUGUUUAAGACUUGAUAACUCCUUAUCCAUGAUCCAUGAGAUGUGAUCGUAAGUCUAUAUACAUAAUAGUCUUGAUGCUUUAAUGUUAUCCCAGUUUACAAUAAAGCUCGACUAUGGAUACUUUAGGAAUAAUGUCCUUAUGUUUAAUGGGAUCUCAUGAUUAGGUCAGACUUGAUAGAUUAAACGAACUAGCUAUUCUAGGGACUUUAUUAAACAAACAUAAUAAAGAAAAAGGCUUUUAUUUUUAAUAAAUAAUUCGAUACAAGUACAAAAAGUAUUGGCCUUUAGGGCUUACACCAACAAUUAGGACCUAGGGUUAUUCCGUUCUCUUGAUCGAUUAGAGCUUAGGGUUCGGUUUCAUUGAGAAUCAAUGGAGCUUUCGUGGUUAGAUUUAGAAGAGGAAGAUUGUGGUGGCCUCAUUUUUAAUUUCUAGAAAUCUCUCCCGCCGAGGGAUCCUCAGGCACAGUGGAGACAGAUGUGGUAAGUGAGAGAAGGAAGGACAUUUGAAUUUUUUUGAGCUGAGCCAUUCUGAAGAGAUUCCAGAUGCACUUAUACGUUGCAAGCUUCCAUGCGCAUUUAACAUGUGAUUCAUGUGGCUCAAUGUACUGACUCAUUGAUUUCUCAACAUUUAGCCUUAUCUGAUUCAUACACAGUGUUUGGCCAGUACGCCUCCCCAUUAUGCAUUGAAUUUCUUUAGGGCUUUGACACAUAGGGCCCACGCACCCAUUCUGCUUUGCACCCUUGCUUCAGGGCAUGCACCCCAUGUUUUAGCAUAUUUUGUUAAUUUUAUUUUUGAUCAUAUUGUUAAUUGAUUUUUUAGCUUUUUAAUUUUUGUUAAUUAGGCUAAUUAGAGAAUUUUAAUUAGGAUUUAAGUUGAUUAGAAUUAUAGGAAUAAUUAGAAUUUGAAUUUUAAUAUGUGUUAGAAUUAAUGGCUUUUAGAUAGAAAAUUAGAGAUAAUUAGUUUUAAUUAGUUUUUUAAUUUUAGAACUAAUUUCCUAAUUGAUCAUCCAUGUGAAUUGACUUUAUUAGCCCUAAGGUUUAGUCAUAGAAUAUCAUGUUCCCUUAUAUUAGGCUUUGAUUUAGAUUAAUUGAUCAUGUUUAAUCAUUGUUUUUCAUGUGAUAUUUGAUGAUUGAUGAUUUAACUUGAUCCUAAUAUUGGCAUAAUCCCUUAGCUUAGGGUUUAUACAUAUCAUUUGAUUAACCUUUAGGUUAGGUUGUAUAUAAUUAACGAUUAACUAAUUCCUUUGAUUUAUGUAUAUUCCCUCACUCUAUUCAAGUGAUCAAAAGUCCCUUGAUCACUUGAUAUGACUAAUUCCUGUAUUGCUGUGGAUCUCUAGGCCUCAAGUUCAGAUUUGCAUGCAAGGCAUCCUAGAUAAACCAAGCAGUGGAUUAUGCAAGGCACAUCAAAGGCAUUCUUCAAGAGCUUGUAAAUCAAGAUUCAAAUUGUGUGACACGAGCCUUAAGAAAUAUAGAAUAAAUGAGAGUGGAGAAUUCCAUUAACACAUUCUGAAUAUCUUUGGGUACGGGACAAAACCCAGUUGAUCAUUGUAUUUACCUUUAUUCAUAGACUUUAGCAUGAUUUGAAUCAAAUGAUUGCCAAGUCUCCCUUCACAAAGCAAUAAUGCAACAAACAUAAGCCUCUACCAGCAACUUAUCAAUCAUUAUUCAAGUUGUAUGCCAUGAGCCUUAAGUAACAAAGAAUGAUGAGAGUGGAGCAUUCUUAUCAUUGUCUAGGAUAUCCUUGGGUACGAGACGAAUGACCCAGUUGCUCAAGGUAUUCACAUUUAUUCAUAGACUUUAGUGCAAUUUGAAUCAAAUGAUUGAUAAAGUAUUCAUCAUGAUAAGGAGAAACAAGGAUUCUUCCUCAACAACUUUAAAGUUAUGAUGAGAAUCACAUGCCAUGAGCCUUAAUUAGUAAAGAAUGAAUGAGAGUAGAGAAUUCCAUUAACUUAUUCUGAAUAUCUUUGGGUACAAGACAAAUGACCCAGUUGUUCAUUGUAUUCACCUUUACUCAUAGACUUUAGCAUGGUUCAUAUUAAAUGAUUUUAGAGUCUCCUUCAUCUUUCAUUAUCAUAUAUCAUUUCUCUUGCCUCAGUUUCUUGCAGUCUUUGUUCCGGCCGUAGUGAGCCAAAUUACGGAGCUCUGACUUUCUCAUUGAACAAUAAGAACACGUAGGCACGAGGAUUCAGAUUCUCCGCGAGCUACCCUAUUUAUGAAUCCUACCAUAUUUAUUAUUCUUCAUCAAUCAAUACCAUCCUUUUGGAACCAAAUACCUUAUCCCUUUGGAUUCCAUGCAUAUCCUUUUAGGACAAUUUAAUCGAACUCCACCUUGUAAACCCAUAGUUGUUUGUCUCGUCGGCAAACACCUAAUUCCAUUGUUUUUUGUCAUUCCAAUAUAGUGGUAUGAUGCCUCUGGGCCUCAUAUCUUGGUUUGUACCUUCUUUUCUCUUUGAUUCAGAGUUUAUUCCUUCAUGUAUCGAAUAUACCAUUCUUUUGGUUUCAAAUUAUUUAUUCCCUACAGUGAUAUAUUGUUCCUUGUACCAAACAUAUUUCUCCUUUAAGUCCCAUGCCUAUCCUUUUAGGGAAAUUCGAAUGCCUAUCUUGUGAACCAAGAGAUGUUUGUCUUGAUGCCAAACACCUAAUUCCUUUGUUUAUGGUCAUGAUAAUACAGUGGUGUGAUUCCUCUGGCCCCCCACAUCUUAGUAUGUACCUCAUUUACUAUUUGGUUCAAAGUUCAUUUACCUUUAUGGUUUCCCAAGCUACCAUUCUCUUUUGGUGCAAGUUAUACUUUUCAUCACCUUUCAAUCUCUAUUCUCUUUAUUUCCGUAAUUCCACGAACUACAGAGCUCUGACUUUCUCAUUGCACGGUGAGAAUAUGUAGGCACGAGGAUGCGAAUCCUUAGCGAGCACAUUCCUAUUUAUUCCUCUUUCUCCUGCCUUAAGGCACCAUUCAUAUCUUUCACGAUCCAACAUUUAUCUUCAAUCACCAACCAUUCACCCCAGUGACAUACUUACUUUCUUUGGAACCAAAUACCAUUUUCUUUAGAAUUUCUGUAGGUGUUUAAUUGGCUGCAUUAUAUGGUAAAACACUAAUGUCUUGACUGAUGUCAAGACAUGUAUAUGUGACUACAUUGUAGUUACUGCAGGACUAGCUAACACAGGAUUAUUGAAUGCUGUGACAUUCAUACCUGUCAACAGAUACUAAGGAACAGAAGUUCUGUUAGAACUUAGUAUUCAUGGGGGGGGGGGGGGGGGGGGGGGGGGGGGGGGGGGACAGAAAAGGAAGGGGGAAUUCUUUUUUUUUUUUAAACCAAAUUUACAGCCCCCUAAAUUUUUUGUUAGCAACCUAAAUGUUGGAAUUUGGAGGACCUUGUGUGACCUAAAUUUUCAGGAAAAAUACAAGGUGCAAAGCCCAGGUGCUGCAAUAUAAAAGGAAGCAUUCUUCUUCAGUUUCGGGAUUUUGAAGCGUGAAGUGUCAGUGUGUCCAUCAUACUUACUCUUGUAUUUUGUGGUCUUGUAUUAGACGUAUCCUUUGUAAGCCAAGCCAUUAUCAGUAGAUGAUUGCUUUGGCAUAGGGUGUUCAUUGAGUUGUAAGUGUUGUGUCACUCAAAGCUUUAGCGUGAGUGCUGGUGUAUCUUGAUUUAGCUGUGAAGCAUAAUCAAGGUUGUUUUUGAAGUGUGAUUCAAAGUGUCUUUAAUAUCACUGAGGUGAUUGAGGGGGAGUGAGUAGGAACUCUGAUCUUAGGUUAAGAUUGAAAUGCAUUGGUAGGGAUUAAGUGAUAAGUUGUAACGGGUGAGUUUAGCUUUGAAUUGAUACUACUAAUAGUGGAUUUCUCCCUGGCUUGGUAGCCCCCAGAUGUAGGUCAUGUUGGACUGAACUGGGUGAACAAUUACUUGUGUUAUUUACUGCACUUACUGUUAAGUUCUGCAUAAUCCUGUCUGUGCAGAUUGGAUGUCAUACAACACAGUGUGAAUCCAAAGUCUGAUAACUAGAAUUUCAGUUGGCAUCAGAGCAGGCACCCUGCCUGUGAAGUUCUGGGUGAGAUCUAGGGAAGUUACUUUCUUAGUACAUGGACAAGGAAUUUGGAACUCAAAUAGACCACCCAUGUUGGAUGGAUCUAAUUAUGAUGACUGGAAGCCUCGCAUGAUAGCCUUCUUAAGGUCUCUAGACAGCAAAGUCUGGAGAGCUGUCAACAAGGGAUGGGAACAUCCAACGAGGACUGAUGAAGAUGGAGUCAAGUGGCAGAUUCCCGAGAAGAUUGGACAGAGGAACAAGAGGCAUUAGCUCUUGGAAACUCCCAAAGCCUUGAAUGGCAUUGUUCAAUGGAAUCACUAAGACAUCUUCAGGCUGGUGCACCAUUGUGAACUAGCUAAGGAAGUUUGGGAUAACUCAAGGUAACUCAUGAAGGACUUCCAAGGUGAAAGAUGUCCAAACUUCAAAUGUUGACAACCAAGUUUGAAAUCUGAGGAUGAAGCAGGAUGAGACUAUCAUGACUUUCACAUGAAUAUUCUGAAAUUGCAAACACCUCUGGUGGACUAGGUGAGAAAAUGACUGAAGGAAACUUGUAAGAAAGAUUCUCAGGUCCUUGCCUAAGAGGUUGCUAUGAAGGUCACUGCAAUAGAGGAGGCUCAGGACAUCAGCAAUAUGAAGGUAGAUAGCUCAUUGUUUCUCUCAAAACCUUUGAAAUGGGCUUAGGUGAGUAUGCUGAGAAGCAAGAAAGAUAGCUUUAUAUAAUGCUGAAGAGGAGUCAGAAGAGGAUUGCAGGAGGUGAUGAAGUAUUCAAAGCUAGCAUGUGGAGCAUUCAACAAGUCAUGAAGAGAUUGACAAAGAGGUAGACUAAUGUCAAGAACCGUCUGACAUUAAGAAAGAUCACUUUCGAGGAGAAGUUCAACCAUGGAAGGGAAUCCAGUGGUCAGGUGUGAGGGUAUGGAAGUCAAGAGCUGAAUGCCUACCUUACCUCAAAUUGCAAAAUAAGGGGCUAGUAUACAUGGUCUGAAGGAAGAUUCCUGAAAGUGAAUCUGAAGGAGAAUCUGCCAACAUGGUCAUGGCACUAACCAGUGUGUUGUGUUCGAAGAUGAACAGAAGUGCAGAUUAGCUGACAUUUGAUGAACUUGCUGCACAUACUAAGAAGCUGUGUACCACCAGUGCAGAAGUGCGGUGCACAAGGGAAAAGCAGAAGAAACUCAUCAAGGAAAUGGAAAGAUGAGAGACAGAAGCAACUGUCUGCAUAGAGGGCUAAAUGAUGAGAUAGCCUUCUGACCUCCAAGCUGAACCAGAUGACGUAAACCCAUCAGAAUGAUGAAUAAGGGAACUGACACUUGGAAGAAAUUCUAAAGGUGGGACAGCAGUCCUGGAACCAAUCUCGGGCUAGGAUUUGGAAAAGAAUUGAACACAAAGCCCAAGGCUAGAGUUCGACCGUUCAAACAGAUGUCAAGCAAUGUCUCAACAUCAAGGAGCUAGGAUGAAUGAUAUCAGAAGAGGAAAUACCAGAUUGGAGUGUCACCACUGUGGCAGGCUUGGUCAUAUAAAAGCGCUUCUGCUACUGGAUUCAUGGCUUCCCUAACAGAGCUCACCUGUCAGACCUAAGCAUAAAACGUAAGCGAUGUGUUCCCAUUAAGAAGCAACAAUGGUAUGCUAGGAUAGCACACACUGCCCUAGGAGGCUUCUUCCAGAGAAGACUGGUACUUGACAGUGGAUGCUCAAGACAUAUGAUGGUAUGGAAAAUCUAACUAGUAGAUAUUCAACCUCACCACCAGCUAUGUGACUUUUGGUGAUGGUGCCAAAGGAAAAAUAAGAGGUGUGGGCAAACUGGACUGUUCUGGAAGUGCCAAAACGUGAACCAUUGUGCUGUUAGUAAGAGGACUAACUGCAAACCUCAUCAGCAUAAGUAGCUUGUGUGAUCAAGGUUUUCAUGUUCAGUUUACUCAGGAGUGUGCAUUGUGACAAAUGGUGACAAUCAGGAAGUUAUGAGAGGAACCAGGUCCAAAGACAACUGCUACCUGUGGGACCUGAUCUCUCUAACUUUUCCACAACAUGCUCCCUCAGCCAAGGAGAACAGGAGGUGAAAGCUGUGGCAUAAGAAGACUUGGAUCUCCACUAUAGGGGAAUGAAGAAGAUCAUAUCCAAGGAAGCAGUCAGAGGAAUGCCAAAGCUUCUGAUUGAUGAAGGAAGAGUCUGUGAGAAUGCCCAAUGGGCAAGCAAAACCAAGAUGUCAACCCAAAGCCUGGGACAUUCCACAACCUCCAGAGUUUCUGGAGCUGCUGCACAUGGACCUAAUGGGACCUAUGCAGGUUGAAAGUCUUGGUGGGAAGAGUAUGCCUACGUGGUGGUUGAUACAUUCCAGAUACACGUGGAUAAGCUUCAUCAGAGAGAAGUCAGAUACAUUGAUGUCUUCAAGAUCUGUGCUAGACUUCAAGGGAAAAGGACAGUUGUGUGGUCCGGAUUAGAAGUGAUCAUGGUACUGAAUUCAAGAUUCCAAGUUUUGAUGAGUUUUGCUCAUUUGAAGGAAUAAGCCAUGAGUUCUCCUCCCCUAUAACUCGUCAGCAGAAUGGAAUAGUUGAAAGAAAAACAGAACUAUUCAAGAAUCUGCCAGAGAAUGAUUCAUGCAAGAAGCUUCUUAUGCACUUUUGGGCUGAAGCAUGACACGCGUGCUAUGUUCACAGACAGAGUCCCUUGAGAAAAGGACCUCUCCACCUCUGUAUGAAUAUGGAAGGGCAGAAACCCACUGUGAAGUACUUUCUAUUUUUGGAAGUAAAUGUUACCAUUCUCAAGAUCGGUGAACAGAAGAGGAAGCUAGAUUCCAAAAAGUGAUGAAGGCGUAUUUCUGGGAAUACUCACUAACGCAGAGCCCUAUAGAGUGUUCAACCACAGGACCAAUGUCCUGAUGGAGUCCAUAAAUGUCAUUGUGGAUGAUAAAGAGGAGGAACCGAUGUAUGGAGGAUGUUGAAACAUUCCUUGACCGUCCAACUGACAGUCCAGUCAAGCCUGAAGAGUAGGAACCUUCUCCUGAAUGUGAAGUAGAAGCACCACCAAAGUGCCAUCUAUCAGAAUUCAGAAAGACCACCCUAAGGAUCUUAUACUAGGGGAUCCCAACCAGUGGUGUAAACUACCAGGUCAACGAGGAAUAAACUCACAAUUCCUGCUUUGUUUCCAAGGUUGAACCAAAGAAUGUGAAAGAAGCCCUGACUGAUGAAUACUGGAUCAUUGCCAUGCAAGAGGACUCGAGCAGUUCACAAGGCAUGAUAGUUAUGGAGCUGGUUCCAAGACCUGAAGGUCCAACAUCAUUGGUACCAAGUGGAUCUACAAACAAAUCUGAUGAGAAGGAGUAAUUACUAGAAAUAAAGCAAGCUAGUAGCUCAGGAUACACUCAAGUGAAGGAGUAGACUUUGAUGAGACAUUUGCUCCUGUGGCUAGACUUGAGUCCAUCAGAUUGCUGUUGGGGGUAGCAUGCAUCCUGAAGUUUAAGCUGUUCCAAAUGGAUUGUAGAGUGCAUUCUUGAAUGGCUACCUGAUGAAAGAAGUCUAUGUGGAACAACCAAAGGGUUCUGUGAUCCUAACCACCUGAGCAUGUAUACAAGUUGAAGUAAAGCUUGUAUGGGUGACGCAAACACCCAGAGCUUGGUAUGAAAGGUUAACCGAAUUUCUGACCUCAAAUGGAUACAGAAAGGGUGGCUAGAUAACCUUGUUUGUGAAGGAUGAAGAAGCAAAAUCAUGAUAGCUCAAAUUAUGUUGAUGAUAUAAUCUUUGGUGGAAUGUCAGAACAAAUGGUUAAAAUUUGUUCACCAGAUGCAGUCUGAGUUUGAAAUGAGUCUAGUGGGAGAACUGACCUUUCCUUGGAAUGCAAGUAAACCAAUGGAGGACUCUAUGUUUUCUCCCAAAGCAAGUAUGCAAGAACUAGUUAAGAAGUUGGUAUGGAUCAAUGCCAGGCACAAGAGGAACUCCUGCCCUACUCAUCUGAAGUUAACCAAAGAUGAUGGAGGGCCUUGUAUUGAUCAAUGCCUGUACAGAAGCAUGAUAGGUAGUCUGCUGUAUCUAACUGCAAGUAGACCUGACAUUUCCUAUGCAGUUGGAGUGUGUGCCAGAUACCAAGCAGAGCCCAGGUGAGCCACUUGAAUCAAGUCAAAGGAUUCUCAAGUAAUCAAUGGGACGUGUGACUAUGGGAUGCUGUAUUCACAUGGGUCUAAGCCUGUCCUAUCUGGGUACUGUGAUGCUGAUUGGGCUGGAAGUGCUGAUGACAGAAAAGCACAUCAGGUGGAUGUUUCUUCUUAGGAGAAAACCUCAUAUCGUGGUUCAGCAAGAAGCAGAACUGUGUCUCUCUGUCCACUGCAGAGGCCUGAAUACAUAGCUGCUGGAAGCGUUUGCUCCAACUGUUUGGAUGAAACAAAUGCUCACUGAGUACAAUGUCACUCAAAAUGUUAUGACAUUGUUCUGUGAUAAUCUCAGUGCCAUCAACAUCUCCAAGAAUCCCAUCCAACAAGCGGACCAAACUAUUGACAUUAGGCACCACUUCAUCAGAGAUCUGGUGGAAGACAAGGUGAUCACUUUGGAACAUGUAGCCACGGAUCUUCAACUGGCUGACAUAUUUACAAAGGCUCUUGGAUGCUACUCAGUUUGAAAACUAAGGAGCAAACUGGGAAUAUGUCUCUUCUGAGACCUUAUAGCAACCAGUGAUGUUUGGGAUAAAUUGUUUAUAUCUCUGCUAUAUUAACACAAUUUGUACUAGGCUAUGAUUGGUCAACAGAUCAUAGCUAUGCUGCUUGCAACAAGGGUGGAUACAAGAGGGUAAGGAGACACCCUACAGAGAGAAGGCCACUGUACCUGAAGGAGUUCAGGAUGCUGUUCAUGCAGGAGUGGUUCUGGAUGUCAAGAAACAAUCAUGGAUCUGAUAUGGUGGUACCUCUGUAAGCAAAAGUGGGUGAUCACUUGAUCGAAGCUGUGAAGCAAGAUCAAGUGGAUGUUAACUUUGUUUAAACAGUGAAGUAAAACCAGUCUGGAACUCUGUCAUUGUGCUCUGACUAUGUUGUUGGCUUUGGCAAAUUUGUGACAAAAGGGGGAGCAAUAACCACAAUACCCCUGACAAACAGAGUGGGUCUCUACAACAGACUCUCAUGACAGAUCUGAGAAUUCCCCCCUGCAGCUGAUGUUGAAGUUUAGGUGCAAUUCUAAUUAUGUGUGUGCUGCUAUGCGAAGUUUUAUUUAACUUCCAUGUGUGUGAGUGGUGCUGCCACUCUGAGUGUAUUAGCCAGUAGUAUUCCGCUGCCAUGAACUCUGUUAUGGGAUCAAGUGUUUUAUCAUCAUUAUUCAGUUGUAUGCCAUGAGCCUUAAGUAACAAAGAAUGAUGAGAGUGGAGCAUUCUUAUCAUUGUCUAGGAUAUCCUUGGGUACGAGACGAAUGACCAGUUGCUCAAGGUAUUCACAUUUAUUCAUAGACUUUAGUGCAAUUUGAAUCAAAUGAUUGAUAAAGUAUUCAUCAUGAUAAGGAGAAACAAGGAUUCUUCCUCAACAACUUAAAAGUUAUGAUGAGAAUCACAUCCAUGAGCCUUAAUUAGUAAAGAAUGAAUGAGAGUAGAGAAUUCCAUUAACUUAUUCUGAAUAUCUUUGGGUACAAGACAAUGACCAGUUUGUUCAUUGUAUUCACCUUUACUCAUAGACUUUAGCAUGGUUCAUAUUAAAUGAUUUUCGAGUCUCUUCAUCUUUCAUUAUCAUAUAUCAUUUCUCUUGCUCAGUUUCUUGCAGUCUUUGUUCCGGCCGUAGUGAGCCAAUUACGGAGCUCUGACUUUCUCAUUGAACAAUAAGAACACGUAGGCACGGGAUUCAGAUUCUCCGCGAGCUACCCUAUUUAUGAAUCCUACAUAUUAUUAUUCUUCAUCAAUCAAUACCAUCCUUUUUGGAACCAAUACUUAUCCUUUGGAUUCCAUGCAUAUCCUUUUAGGACAAUUUAAUCGAACUCCACCUGUAAACCAUAGUUGUUUGUCUCGUCGGCAACACUAAUUCCAUUGUUUUUUUGUCAUUCCAAUAUAGUGGUUAUGAGCUGCUGGGCCUCAUAUCUUGGUUUGUACCUUCUUUUCUCUUUGAUUCAGAGUUUAUUCCUUCUGUAUCGAAUAUACCAUUCUUUUGGUUUCAAAUUAUUUAUUCCCUACAGUGAUAUAUUGUCCUUGUACAACAUAUUUCUCCUUUAAGUCCCAUGCCUAUCCUUUUAGGGAAAUUCGAAUGCCUAUCUUGUGAACCAAGAGAUGUUUGUCUUGAUGCCAAACACCUAAUUCUUUGUUUAUGGUCAUGAUAAUAAGUGGUGUGAUUCCUCUGGCCCCCCACAUCUUAGUAUGUACCUCAUUUACUAUUUGGUUCAAAGUUCAUUUACCUUUAUGGUUCCCAAGCUACCAUUCUCUUUUUGGUGCAUUUAUACUUUUCAUCACCUUUCACUCUAUUCUCUUUAUUUCCGUAAUUCCACGAACUACAGAGCUCUGACUUUCUCAUUGCACGGUGAGAAUAUGUAGGCACGAGGAUGCGAAUCCUUAGCGCACUUCUAUUUAUUCCUCUUUCUCCUGCCUUAGGCACCAUUCAUAUCUUUCACGAUCCAACAUUUAUCUUCAAUCACCAACCAUUCACCCCAGUGAACAUACUUACUUUCUUUGGAACCAAAUACCAUUUUCUUUAGAAUUUCUGUAGGUGUUUAAUUGGGCUGCAUUAUAUGGUAAAACACUAUGUCUUGACUGAUGUCAAGACAUGUAUAUGUGACUACAUUGUAGUUACUGCAGGACUAGCUAACACAGGAUUAUUGAAUGCUGUGACAUUCAUACCUGUCAACAGAUACUAAGGACAGAAGUUCUGUUAGAACUUAGUUUCAUUUGCAGUCUGGUUAUCAGGAAGAACCAGACCUGGCAUAAGGCCUACUGACUGAAUGUCAAACUGGAUGUUGUGACAUUCAUCAUUGACAGCAGCUACUGAAGAUUAGCAGAGUGGUGUUCUGCUAUACUUCAGCAUAAACUUAGUUUUGUUCUUCAAGAGAAUAACAGAACUAACUUAAGGCCAAUGUAUAAAUGUUAAGUUGGACACUUUGACAUUUAUUAAUGUAAGCUGUUACUGUAGUACGGUCAUUUUGAUCAUGUACAGGUCAGCAAAUUGUACAGUCUGUUUUCUAGAAAAACAGACUCAGCAUAUGGACCUUGAUGUCAAGCUGAAUGUCGUGACAUUCGUGCCUGACAGCAUAUGCUAAUUGUAGGUGUUUCAGUUUUCUGUUUCAGCUUUUUCUCAGGCUAUUCUUUAGGGAUUCACACAGCUGAGAGAAAAUCAGGAAAUCACAACCAAGCUACAUUCAAUGCACUAACAAUAGCCUAUUUGUUAGCAACCUAAAUGUUGAAUUUGAGGGAACCUGUGUGACCUAAAUUCAGGAAAUACGGUGCAAAAGCCAGGUGCUGCAAUAUAAAAGGAAGACAUUCCUUCAUUCAGUUUCGGGGAUUUUGAAGCGUGAAGUGUCAGUGUGUCCAUCAUACUUCACUGCUGUAUUUUGUGAGUCUUGUAUUAGACGUAUCUUGUAAGCCAGCCAUUAUCAAGUAGAUGAUUGCUUUGGCAUAGGGUGUUCAUUGAGUUGUAAGUGUUGUGUCACUCAAAGCUUUUAAGCGUGAGUGCUGUGUAUCUUGAUUUAAGCUGUGAAGCAUAAUCAGAGUUGUUUUUGAAGUGUGACUUCAAAGUGUCUUUAAUAUCACUGAGGUGAUUGAGGGGAGUGAGUAGGAACUCUGAUCUUAGGUUAAGAUUGAAAUUGCAUUGGGUAGGGAUUAAGUGAUAAGUUGUAAACGGGUGAGUUUAGCUUUGAAUUGAUACUACUAAUAGUGGAUUCCCUCCUGGCUUGGUAGCCCCCAGAUGUAGGUCAUGUUGGACUGAAACUGGGUGAACAAUUACUUGUGUUAUUUNGUCAUUUGCAGUCUGGUUAUCAAGGAAGAACAGACUGGCAUAAGGCUACUGACUGAAUGUCAACUGGAUGUUGUGAUUCAUCAUUGACAGCAGCUACUGAGAUUAGGCAGAGUGGUGUUCUGCUAUACUUCAGCAUAAAACUUAGUUUGUUCUAAGGAAUAACAGAAUAACUUAAGGCCAAAUGUAUAAAAUGUUGUUGGACACUUUGCAUUUAUUAAUGUAAGCUGUUACUGUAGUCGGUCAUUUUGAUAUGUACAGGUCAGCAAAUUGUACAGUCUGUUUUCUAGAAAAACAGACUCAGCAUAUGGACUUGAUGUCAAGCUGAAUGUCGUGACAUUGUCCUGACAGCAUAUGCUAAUUGUAGGUUGUUCAGUUUUCUGUUUCAGCUUUUUUCUCAGGCUAUUCUUUAGGAUUCAACAGCUGAGAGAAAUCCAGGAAAUCACACCAAGCUACUUCAAUGAACCUAAAAUAGCCUAUUUGUUAGAACCUAAAUGUUGAAUUGGAGGGAACUGUGUGACCUAAAUUCAGGAAAUACAGGUGCAAAGCCAGGUGCUGCAAUAUAAAAGGAAGGCAUUCCUUCAUUCAGUUUCGGGGAUUUUGAAGCGUGAAGUGUCAGUGUGUACAUACUUCACUGCUGUAUUUGUGAGUCUUGUAUUAGACGUAUCUUGUAGCCAAGCCAUUAUCAAGUAGAUGAUUGCUUUGGCAUAGGGUGUUCAUUGAGUUGUAAGUGUUGUGUCACUCAAAGUUUUUUAAGCGUGAGUGCUGUGUAUCUUGAUUUAAGCUGUGAAGCAUAAUCAAGAGUUGUUUUUGAAGUGUGACUUCAAAGUGUCUUUAAUAUCACGAGGUGAUUGAGGGGGAGUGAGUAGGAACUCUGAUCUUAGGUUAAGAUUGAAAUGUGCAUGGGUAGGGAUUAAUGAUAAGUUUGUAACGGGUGAGUUUAGCUUUGAAUUGAUACUACUAAUGUGGAUUUCCUCCCUGGCUUGGUAGCCCCCAGAUGUAGGUCAUGUUGGACUGAACUGGGUGAACAAUUACUUGUGUUAUUUACUGCACUUACUGUUAAGUUCUGCAUAAUCCCUGUCUGUGCAGAAUUGGAUGUCAUAACAACCAGUGUGACAUCCAAAGUCUGAUAACUAGAAUUUCAGUUGGCAUAAGAGCAGGCACCCUGCCUGUGAAGUUCUGGGUGAGAUCUAGGGAAGUUACUUUCUAGUACAUGGACAAGGAUUUAGGACACUCAAAUAGACCACCCAUGUUGGAUGGAUCUAAUUAUGAUGACUGGAAGCUCGCAUGAUAGCCUUCUUAAGGUCUCUAGACAGCAGUCUGGAGAGCUGUCAACAAGGGAUGGGAACAUCAACGAGGACUGAUGAAGAUGGGUCAGUGUGCAGAUUCCGAAGAAGAUUGGACAAGGAACAAGAGGCAUUAGCUCUUGGCAAACUCCAAAGCCUUGAAUGCAUUGUUCAAUGGAAUCACUAAGACAUCUUCAGGCUGGUGCACCAUUGUGAACUAGCUAAGGAAGUUUGGGAUACCUCAAGGUAACUCAUGAAGGUAUUCCAAGGUGAAGAUGUCCAACUUCAAAUGUUGACAACAAGUUUGAAAUCUGAGGAUGAAGAGGAUGAGACUAUUCAUGACUUUCACAUGAAUAUUCUUGAAUUGCAAACACCUCUGGUGGAUAGGUGGAAAAUGACUGAAGAGAAACUUGUAAGAAAGAUUCUCAGGUCUUGCCAAGAGGUUUGCUAUGAAGGUACUGCAAUAGAGGAGGCUCAGGACAUCAGCAAUAUGAAGGUAGAUGAGCUCAUUGGUUCUCUCCAAACCUUUGAAAUGGGCUUAGGUGAGUAUGCUGAGAAGAAGAAAGCAUAGCUCUUUAUAUCAAAUGCUGAAGAGGAGUCAGAAGAAGGAUAUGCAGGAGGUGAUGAAAGUAUUAAAGCCUUAGCAUGUUGGGAGGCAAUUCAACAAGUUCAUGAGAAGAUUGAUCAAAGAGGUAGACUCUAAUGUCAAGAAUCCCGUCUGACAUUAAGAAAGAUCAACUUUGAGGAGAAGUUCAACAUGGAAGGGAAUCCAGUGUCAGGCUGUGAAGGGUAUGGACACGUCAGAGCUGAAUGCCUACUUACCUCAAAUGCAAAAUAAGGGCUAGCUAUCACAUGGUCUGAAGGAGAUUCUGAAAGUGAAUCUGAAGGGAAUCUGCCAACAUGUCACUGCACUAACCAGUGUGUGUGUCUCUGAAGAUGAACAAGUGCAGAUGAGCUGACAUUUGAUGAACUUGCUGACAUAUAAGAAGCUGUGUACCACCAGUGCAGAAGUGCGUGCACAAGGAGAAAAGCAGAAGAAACUCAUCAAGGAACUGGAAGAUGAGAGACAGAAGCAACUGUCUGCCAUAGAGGGCUAAAUGAUGAGAUAGCCUUCUGACCUCCAAGCUGACAGAUGAAAACCCAUCAGAAUGAUGAAUAAGGGAACUGACACUUGGAAGAAAUUCUAAAGGUGGGACAGCAGUCUGGAACCAAAUCUGGGCUAGGAUUUGGAAAAAGAAUUGAACACAAAGCCCAAAGGCUAGAGUUCAGAGUUCAAACAGAUGUCAAGCAAUGUCUCAACAUCAAGGAGCUAGGAUGAUGAUAUCAGAAGAGGAAAUACCAGAUUUGGAGGUGUCACCACUGUGGCAGGCUUGGUCUAUAAAAGCCUUCUGCUACUGGAUCUGGCUUCCCUAACAGAGCUCACCUGUCAGACCUAGCAUAAAACACGUAAGCGAUGUGUCCAUUAAGAAGCAACAAUGGUAUGCUAGAUAGCAACACACUGCCCUAAGGGCUUCUUCAGAGAAGACUGGUACUUUGACAGUGGAUGCUCAGAGAAUAUGAUGGUAUGGAAAAUCUCAACUAUAGAUAUUCAACCUCAACCACAGCUAUGUGACUUUUGGUGAUGGUGCCAAAGGAAAAAUAAGAGGUGUGGGCAAACUGGACUGUUCUGGAAGUGCCAAUAACUGAACCAUGUGCUGUUAGUAGAGGAUAACUGAAACCUCAUCAGGCAUAAGUCAGCUUGUGUGAUCAAGGUUUUAUGUUCAGUUUAUCUAGGAGAGUGCAUUGGGACAAAUGGUGACAAUCAGGAAGUUAUGAGAGGAACACAGGUCCAAAGACAACUGCACCUGUGGGAACCUGAUCUCCUAAGCUUUUCCCACAUAGCUCCCUAGCACAAGGAGAACAGGAGGUGAAGCUGUGGCAUAGAAGACUUGGACAUCUCCACUUACGGGGAAUGAAGAAGAUCAUAUCCAAGGAAGCAGUCGAGGAAUGCAAAGCUUCUGAUUGAUGAGGAGAGUUGUGAGAAAUGCCCAAUGGGCAAGCAAACCAAGAUGUCACCCAAAGCUGGGACAUUCCACAACCUCAGAGUUUCUGGAGCUGCUGGACAUGGACCUAAUGGGACCUAUGCAGGUUGAAAGUCUUGGGGAGAAGUAUGCCUACGUCGGUGUUGAUACAUUCCAGAUACAGUGGAUAAGCUUCAUCAGAGAGAAGUCAGCAUAUUUUGAUGUCUUCAAAGAUCUGUGCUAGACUUCAAGGAAAAGGACAGUUGUGUGGUCCGGAUUAGAAGUGAUCAUGGUACUGAAUUCAAGAUUCAAGUUUUGAUGAGUUUUGCUAUUUGAAGGAAUAAGCCAUGAGUUCUCUCCCCUAUAACUCCUCAGCAGAAUGGAAUAGUUGAAAGAAAAACAGAACUAUUCAAGAUCUGCCAGAGCAAUGAUUCAUGCACGAAGCUUCUUAUGCACUUUUGGGCUGAAGCAUGAUACACGCGUGCUAUGUUCAAACAGAAGGUCCCACUUGAGAAAAGGAUCCCUCCACUUGUAUGAAUAUGGAAGGGCAGAAACCCUGUGAAGUAUACUUUCAUAUUUUUGGAGUAAAUGUUACCAUUCUCACAGAUCGGUGAACAGAGGAGGAAGCUAGAUUCCAAAACGUGAUGAAGGCGUAUUUCUGGGAAUACUCACUAACAGCAGAGCCUAUAGAGUGUUCAACACAGGACCAAUGUCCUGAUGGAGUCCAUAAAUGUUUGUGGAUGAUAAAGAGGAGGAACCGAUGUAUGGAGGAUGUUGAAACAUUCCUUGACAGUCCAACUGACAGUCAGUCAAGCCUGAAGAAGUAGGAACUUCUCUGAAUGUGAAGUAGAAGCACCACCAAAGUGCCAUGCUAUCAGAAUUGCAAGACCACCCUAAGGAUCUUAUCAUAGGGAUCCCACAGUGGUGUAACUACGGUCAAAGAGGAAUAAACUCCAAAUUCCUGCUUUGUUUCCAAGGUUGAACAAAGAAUGUGAAAGAAGCCCUGACUGAUGAAUACUGGAAUUGCCAUGCAAGAGGACUCGAGCAGUUCACAAGGCAUGGACUGUGAUGGGCAGCUGGUUAAGACCUGAAGGUCCACAUCAUUGGUACAAGUGGAUCUACAAACAUCUGAUGAGAAGGAGUAAUUACUAGAAAUAAAGCAAGCUAAGUAGCUCAGGAUAUCACAAGUGAAAGGAGUAGACUUUGAUGAGACAUUUGCUCCCUGUGGCUAGACUUGGAGUCCAUCAAAUUGCUGUUGGGGGUAGCAUGCAUCCUGAAGUUUAAGCUGUUCCAAAUGGAUGUGAAGAGUGCAUUCUUGAAUGGCUACCUGAUGAAGAAGUCUAUGUGGAACAACCAAAGGGUUCUGUGAUCCUAACACCUGAGCAUGUAUACAAGUUGAAGUAAAGCUUGUAUGGGUGAAGCAAACACCCAGAGCUUGGUAUGAAAGGUUAACCGAAUUUCUGACCUCAAAUGGAUACAGAAAGGGUGGCUAGAUAACCUUGUUUGUGGAAGAUGAAGAAGCAAAAUCAUGAUAGCUAAAUUAUGUUGAUGAUUAAUCUUUGGUGGAAUGUCAGAACAAAAUGGUUAAAUUUGUUCACAGAUCAUCUGAGUUUGAAAUGAGUCUAGUGGGAGAACUGACCUUUUCCUUGGAAUGCAAGUAAACCAAAUGGAGGACUCUAUGUUUCUCUCCAAAGCAAGUAUGCAAGAACUAGUUAAGAAGUUGGUAUGGAUCAUGCCAGGCACAAGAGGAUUGCUCCUGCUCCUACUCAUCUGAAGUUAACCAAAGAUGAUGGAGGGCCUAAGUAUUGAUCAAUGGCCUGUAACGAAGCAUGAUAGGUAGUCUGCUGUAUCUAUGCAAGUAGACGCCAUUUCUAUGCAGUUGGAGUGUGUGCCAGAUAACAGCAGAGCAAGGUGAGCCACUUGAAUCAAGUCAAAGGAUUCUCAGUACUCAAUGGGACGUGUGACUAUGGGAUGCUGUAUUCACAUGGUCUAGCCUGUCCUAUCUGGGUACUGUGAUGCUGAUUGGGCUGGAAGUGCUGAUGACAGAAAAGCACAUCACGGUGGGAUGUUUCUUCUUAGGAGAAACCUCAUAUCGUGGUUCCAGCAAGAAGCAGAACUGUGUCUCUCUGUCCAUGCAGAGGCCUGAAUACAUAGCUGCUGGAAGCAGUUUGCUCCAACUGUUUGGAUGAACAAAAUGCUCACUGAGUACAAUGUCACUCAAAUGUUAUGACAUUGUUCUGUGAUAAUCUCAGUGCCAUCAACAUCUCCAAGAUCCACAAACAUAGCGGACCAAACAUAUUGACAUUAGGCACCACUUCAUCAGAGAUCUGGUGGAAGACAAGGUGAUACUUUGGAACAUGUAAGGAUCUUCAACUGGCUGACAUUAUUUACAAAGGCUCUUGGAUGCUACUCAGUUUGAAACUUAAGGAGCAAACUGGGAAUAUGUCUCUCUGAGACAUUAUAGCAACCAUGAUGUUUGGGAUAAAUUGUUUAAUCUUGCUAUUAACAAUUUGUACUAGGCUAUGAUUGGUCAACAGAUCAUAGCUAUGCUGCUUGCAACAAGGGUGGAUACAAGAGGGUAAGGAGACACCCUACAGAGAGAAGGCCACUGUACCUGAAGGAGUUCAAGGAUGCUGUUCAUGCAGGAGUGGUUCUGGAUGUCAAGAACAAUAUGGAUCUGAUAUGGUGGUACCUCUGUACAGCAAAGUGGGUGAUCAAUGAUCGAAGCUGUGACAGAGAUCAAGUGGAUGUUAAUUUGUUUUAAACAGUGGAAGUAAAACCAAGUCUGGAACUCUGUCAUUGUGCUCUGACUAUGUUGUUGGCUUUGGCAAAUUUGUGACACAAGGGGGAGCAAUAACCACAUACCCCUGACAAACAGAGUGGGUCUCUACAACAGACUCUCAUGACAAUCUGAGAUUCCCCCCUGCAGCUGAUGUUGAAGUUUAGGUGCAAUUUAAUAUGUGUGGUGUGCUUGCGAAGUUUUAUUUAACUUCCAUGUGUGUGAGUGGUGCUGCCACUCUGAGUGUAUUAGCCAGUAGUAUUCGCUGCGCAUGAACUUUAUGGGUCAAAGUGUUUUAUCAAUCAUUAUUCAAGUUUGUAUGCCAUGAGCCUUAAGUAACAAAGAAUGAUAGAGUGGAGCAUUCUUAUCAUUGUCUAGGAUAUCCUUGGGUACGAGACGAAUGACCCAGUUGCUGCAGGUAUUCACAUUUAUAUCAUAAUUUAAUAAUGAUUGAUAAAGUUCACUACUCUAAAGGAGAAAAGGAUUCUUCCUCAACAACUUUAAAGUUAUGAGAAAUCACAUCCUGAGCCUUAAUUAGUAAAGAAUGAAUGAGAGUAGAGAUCCGAUUAACUUAUUCUGAAUAUCUUUGGGUCAAGACAAUGUACCCAGUUGUUCAUUGUAUUCACCUUUACUCAUUAGACUUUAGCAUGGUUCAUAUUAAAUGAUUUUCGAGUCCUUCAUCUUUCAUUUAUAUAAUCAUUUCUCUUGCCUCAGUUUCUUGCAGUCUUUGUUCCGGCCGUAGUGAGCAAUUACGGAGCUCUGACUUUCUCAUUGAACAAUAAGAACCGUAGGCAGAGAGAUUUCCGCGAGCUACCCUAUUUAUGAUCCUAUCAUAUUAUUAUCCUUAUCAAUGAAUACAUAAUAUAUAGAGAACUUAUGCCCUUGGUCAUGAUAUACCUUUUAGGGUGAACAAUUACUUGUGUUAUUUACUGCACUUACUGUUAAGUUCUGCAUAAUCCCUGUCUGUGCAGAAUUGGAUGUCAUAACAACCAGUGUGACAUCCAAAGUCUGAUAACUAGAAUUUCAAUUUCCAUAUAUACCCUUUUAGGAUACUUGUCCACCUUUGUACCAAGAGAUGUUUGACUUGAUGUCAAACACUUAAUUCAUUAUUUUCAUCCAUACCAUAUAUAGUGAUAUGAUGCCUAUGGCCCCCAACACAUUAGUUAAUGCUACCUUUCCUCUUAGGUUACAAAUUCCAUUUAUCUUAUGGAUUCCAACAAUCCCCUUACUUUUGGUUCUAAACCAUACAAUUCAGUCACUUAUACCAAAUCCUUCAAUUUUUUGACUUUGGGUAUUUUUCUCCAUCAAUCCAUUCACUCCAUGGACCACUAUUCACUACAUUCAUUCAAUAUCUUCUACCUUCAUUCACUUCAUGUGAUAUACUCAUUCUUUGAUCCAAAUACACUAUUUCUUUAAGCUCCAUUUAGUGUCUACUUGUGAACCGAGAAAUGUUUGCCUUGAUGCCAAACACUUAAUUCUCUUUGUUUUCGGCAGUACCGUAUAUAGUGGUAUGAUGCCUAUGGCCCCCCACAUAUAAGUUAAUUCCAGUUUUCAUCUUGGGUUCAUAUUUCAUCCCUUUUUGGAGUCCGACCACAUUAUCCUUUAGUUCAGACCAUACCUUUAUCAUAAUUUGUUUCACCUCCCACCAUUAGUUCUAUGAACUACGGAGCUCUGAAUUCCUUCUUGCACUAUAAGAAUACAUAGGCAUGAGGGCCCUAAUCCUCUCCGAGCACUUUAUUUAUUCCAUUAUUUUCCCCCUUAUUCUUUCAUGAGUAAUCCUUAGAUAUAACACCCAUUAGAGCUUAGAACAAUCAAAACGGUUCCUGUUGAGUACAACUGAUGCGAAGGGUGCUAAUACCUUCCCAUUGCAUAACCGACUUCCUUACUCAAUCAUCUCUUUCCCCUGGGUUUUAUAGAUGUUUUCCCUUUUCUUCGGGAAUAAAUAAAGUUCGAUGACGACUCUGUUGUAUGUUCAAAAAUGUGAUGCGUUCGGGUAUAUUUCUGCUAGCUUCACAAGGGCAUCGCAUGCUCGCGGAUGACUAAAAUAUUUGCCACUGAACUUUAUUUAUUACUAAAAAGGGAAAAGUAAAAUAUCGAUAAAACUCCUAAAGAACGACUAAGAUAUGGUCAUCACAACCAAAUCUGGUUCAAGAGUCGAUUAUGCAAAGGGAAGAUAUUAGCACCUUUCACUUCCAUUGUACUCAAUGGGAACCAUUUAGUUAGUUUUGCACAUAAGUAUUAGCUUAAAUAAUGUCUGCUUUCCUCGAGUUAUAAAAAAAAUCAAAGAGAAAAAGAAAAUGGUCGUAAAAAAGAUUUUUAUUAAGGUGCCUAACGAGACUUUGAAUCUCGCUCCUACGUAUCUCCGGGUGAAAUGGAGAACUCAAGGCUACAUAGUUCUGGGUAGAAAAUGUUUGUUUGUGGGUCAAUUUUAGCGAAAGUUGUUAUUGUCGUAAUCGAACGAAAAAUAUUGCUUACCCAAAACAGUUAGAGGAGAGGUCGUUUGAAUCAUAACAUAAUGGAUUUCUAUAUGGACAUUCGUGGAAAAACGUCGCUUAGCUAACUCACACAUUUGUAGAGGAGGCGUUGUUUUGCAUCGUCUCAAGACAAAACAUCUUUUAUUUAAAAAUGAGUUUGAAACUGAAAGCCAAAAGGUAAAAGUUUGGAUGUGUUGGAUAUUUUUUAGACGAAUGACGAAUGCUCGGUAGGAGAAAGAAGUAUGCCUUAAGGACGAUUAAUUGAGGUUGUAAGGAGCAUGUACCCCUAGGUACCUUUUUCAUUCAAAGUGUUUAUGAAAAUUAUUUGUGGAAGACGAACGUUUGGUAAGACCAAGACGUAUGCCUCGGGGCCGAUUGUUCGGGGGGACCAAGACGUAUACCUUUUUCAUUCAAAGUUUUUUAUUUUAUUUUAGAAAGGUUAAUUUAUUUUUGAUCAACUAUUUAAUUAAUUAAUUCUAACUAACUAAAGGAAAAAAUAAAAGCAAACAAAUAAAUAAAAAUACAAUCAAAGGGAUGGGGAUACAUUUGUCAUUUGAGAAAUAAUGCAAAUAAGAAAAGAAUAAAGAAAAUAAGAAAUAAAACAAUAUAAACAAAUAAAGUAAGAUAAAUAAUCAAAAUAUAGAAAAUGGUGGUGCUAUUUAGUUUUUGGCGUUUUUUAUGGUUUAAUUAAAAAAAAUAUUAUUAAUUACAAAAUAAGAGAAAAGAUUAAUUAGAUUUUUUGUCUUUAUUUUUGAAUAAGUUUACUUUAAUUUUAAUAUUUAAUUAAGCUAAAGUGUAAAAGAUAUCACAAAAUAAUAGUAUGAAAAGAAAUUGUAAUAAAAUGAAAUAAAAUAGCAAAAAUAAAAACUAAAAAAGAAAAAAAAACAAUGGGCCAAAAGUAAGCCCACAAAGAAACAAAAGGAAAUGAUGUGCUAAAAACAUGCCCAAGGGGCGUAGGGAGCAAGGGCGUAGGCCCAAGUCCAAGAUCAAGCUCACCUAGGAGUAUACUAUGUUGACUUAACCAGGGGCACAAGAUCAUAAUACUUCUAGUCAAAUAGAAUCCCAUGGGAAGGAGCAUCCAUCCAUACUGAUUAUGCUGGGGACUCCCACAUGGGAGACCUUGUUGUCUGGGUCUAGUCAACAAGCCCAAGGGCCAGCAGAAGGCCACUUGGCACACAUGCAUGGACAGAUGGAGGGACUAUGUAAACGUGCCUGAGAGAGAGAGAGAAUUCAUUUUUCCAAAAUUUUCUCUCUCUUUCAUGCCUCUCUCUCUCUCUCUCUCUCUCUCUCUCUCUCUCUCUCUCUCUCUCUCUCUCAUGAGAGAGAGAGAGAAUUCAUUUUUCCAAAAUUUUCUCUCUCUUUCAUGCCUCUCUCUCUCUCUCUCUCUCUCUCUCUCUCUCUCUCUCUCUCUCUCUCUCAAGAACAAACCACCGACCCACCCUGAGAACCACCACCAUUCACCCUGAGAACCUCACUCAAACCCAGUUUUUGGUUGAGCUUCAAUUGGAAACUUCAACAAAAACCUAAAAUUUUCCAAAAACUGGUCAAACCACAUCCAAUCCAAAAUCUUCCAACAUGAACCCCCCCUCUAAAUCUUCUUCUAAACAUGAACCCUAAACUAAAAUCCUCAAAAGCUUAACAAAAUCAACAGAUCAAAACUUCUUAAACUCUGAAGCCCUAAGUUCCUAACACCUAAAAUCCAACCAAAUUUGAUCCAAUCUCUCAUCUAAACAUUAAUUCAACACCAAAACCAACAAGAUCAAACAUCAAUAGUAAGAAAUUAAACAAAGUAGACGAAUUAAAGCAAAAAAACACUCAAUAUGGUUCGAAAGUAACAACAACAAGCAUAACGUCUAUAACAAAUAAGGAAAGCAAACAAAAAAUGUAAACAUGAAGGGAUCAAGAGGUUUACCAAAUGGAUGUUAUCGAUGUGAAGUCCACACAUGUAAGUUCCUUUUUCUUUUCUCCGCUUCAUUUCAUUACUGAUCGUGUCCACCCAUUCUACCCCUUCUAUCUAUGUAUAUGCCUACCUACUUCUGUUUGUGUUUAUUACUCUAUUGUUGUUGUGUUGUUUGUUGUCAACGGUUUGGUGGUGGUUUAUCUCACCUUAAUAAGAUUUUAAUGCGAGGCUCUUAUAAGGUUUAGGUAUGAAAUUUUAGUGAGACUAGGAGGUUUCGGAAUUUAAAAAAUUGUUGUGCUUUGAGUAGCUGGGGUUGUUAGGGUUUUUAUGUUAUCAGUGUGAACUUUCUUGUGUCUUAAUAGGAUUUCAGAAGUUUUUGGUGUAUGUAAAUGAGUGAGAAUGAUAUUCAUUUUAUAGCAGUGAGGGAGUGAGAAAUUGGUAUGUGGGAGUGACGAAUAUGAGGAAGAUAGUUCUUCCUCAAGCAUGCGAAUUGAGAGUCGAUAGGAUCAAACAUAAUUAUUUGUGAUGAGUUAUGAAAAUGGUGUGUGUAAAAUAUCCCACAAAGUGUGGGAUUUUGGUGAGUGGGAGAGAUAUUUCGUGAGACCAUGUGCUCGAGCUUUGUGAACUUUCGAAUUUGUCUUUAUUGGAU
rnacentral:lncRNA from 1 species